rnacentral:rRNA from 1 species
AACGAACGCUGGCGGCGUGCCUAACACAUGCAAGUCGUGCGAGAAAAGGGGGGCAACUCCCUGAGUACAGCGGCGCACGGGUGAGUAACACGUAGGUAACCUACCCUCGAGCCCGGGAUAACCUACCGAAAGGUGGGCUAAUACCGGAUGUGACCACGGGAGUUUCGGCUCCUGAGGUAAAAGAUGGCCUCUGCUUGCAAGCUAUCACUCGUGGAGGGGCCUGCGCGCCAUUAGCUAGUUGGCGGGGUAAUGGCCCACCAAGGCUCUGAUGGCUAGGUGGUCUGAGAGGAUGGCCAGCCACACGGGGACUGAAACACGGCCCAGACUCCGACGGGAGGCAGCAGUGGGGGAUAUUGCGCAAUGGGCGAAAGCCUGACGCAGCGACGCCGCGUGGGUGAUGAAGGCCUUCGGGUCGUAAAGCCCUGUCGAGGGGGACGAACCGGCCGCGACCGAAUACGUCGCGACCCUGACGGUACCCCUAAAGGAAGCACCGGCUAACUCCGUGCCAGCCGCCGCGGUAA